UACAGAGGUCCCAAGCGUUGUUCGGAUUCACUGGGCGUAAAGGGUGCGUAGGCGGUUGGGUAAGUCUGAUGUGAAAUCUCACAGCUUAACUGUGAAACUGCAUUGGAUACUAUCCGGCUAGAGGAAUGGAGGGGAGACUGGAAUACUUGGUGUAGCAGUGAAAUGCGUAGAUAUCAAGUGGAACACCAGUGGCGAAGGCGAGUCUCUGGACAUUUCCUGAGGCUGAGGCACGAAAGCCAGGGGAGCAAACGGG
rnacentral:rRNA from 1 species